rnacentral:rRNA from 1 species
UACAGAGGGGGCAAGCGUUAUUCGGAAUUAUUGGGCGUAAAGGGCGCGUAGGCGGCUUGGCAAGUGGAUGGUGAAAUCCCUCGGCUUAACCGAGGAACUGCCGUCCAAACUGCUUCGCUUGAGACCGGGAGAGGUGAGUGGAAUUCCCAGUGUAGCGGUGAAAUGCGUAGAUAUUGGGAGGAACACCAGUGGCGAAGGCGGCUCACUGGACCGAUACUGACGCUGAUGCGCGAAAGCGUGGGGAGCAAACGGG